rnacentral:rRNA from 1 species
CCUACGGGAGGCAGCAGUGAGGAAUAUUGGACAAUGGGCGCAAGCCUGAUCCAGCCAUGCCGCGUGCAGGAAGACGGUCCUAUGGAUUGUAAACUGCUUUUAUACAGGAAGAAACACCUCUACGUGUAGAGACUUGACGGUACUGUAUGAAUAAGCAUCGGCUAACUCCGUGCCAGCAGCCGCGGUAAUACGGAGGAUGCAAGCGUUAUCCGGAAUCAUUGGGUUUAAAGGGUCCGUAGGCGGUUUAAUAAGUCAGUGGUGAAAGCCCAUCGCUCAACGAUGGAACGGCCAUUGAUACUGUUAAACUUGAAUUAUUAGGAAGUAACUAGAAUAUGUAGCGUAGCGGUGAAAUGCUUAGAGAUUACAUGGAAUACCAAUUGCGAAGGCAGGUUACUACUAAUAUAUUGACGCUGAUGGACGAAAGCGUGGGGAGCGAACAGGAUUAGAUACCCUGGUAGUCCACGCCGUAAACGAUGGAUACUAGCUGUUCGGAGCAAUCUGNGUGNGAGAGAAGAGAGUAAGUAGUACCGACCGUAACGGGUAGGUACGUUCGUUCGUAGAAGUUAGAACGUUACGAAGUUAGAAGUUAGACGGACGUUGAGACGNGCGACGGACGACGACGAGGGAGGAGG